rnacentral:rRNA from 1 species
CAAAGGCUUGGUCCUGACUUUAUUGUCAGCUCUAGCUAUACUUACACAUGCAAGUCUCCGCACCCCCGUGAGAAUGCCCGCGCUCCCUUAUGAGAACUCGGAGCAGGUAUCAGGCACACCCUAGUAGCCCACGACACCUUGCUUAGCCACACCCCCAAGGGAUUUCAGCAGUGAUAAAUAUUAAGCCAUAAGUGAAAACUUGACUUAAUUAAGGCCAAGAGAGCCGGUAAAACUCGUGCCAGCCACCGCGGUGAGACGAGAGGCUCAAGUUGACAAACACGGCACAAAGCGUGGUUAAGGAAUUUUACAGACUAAAGUUAAACGCUUCCAAAGCUGUUAUACGCACUCGAAAGUAUGAAAUUCAACCACGAAAGUAACUUUAACACCCCUGAACCCACGAAAGCUAAGGAACAAACUGGGAUUAGAUACCCCACUAUGCUUAGCCAUAAACAUCGAUCUUUACACAAAAAUCCGCCCGGGAACUACAAACACGAGUUUAAAACCCAAAGGACUUGGCGGUGCUUAACAUCCAC